UAUUAUGUGUGGCGCCUUGGAUACACCCGAUCUCUCGAUCUCGGAAGUUAAGCAACGCGCAGUCCGGUCAGUUCCUGGAUGGGAGACCAACCAAGGACGACCAGAUGCUGUAACCU
rnacentral:rRNA from 1 species